AUUGAACGCUGGCGGCAGGCCUAACACAUGCAAGUCGAGCGAGCGGCGGACGGGUGAGUACUGUCUGGGAAACUGCCUGAUGGAGGGGGAUAACUACUGUAAGCGGUAGCUAAUACCGCAUGCCAUCAGAUGUGCCCAGAUGUGAUUGGCUAGUGGGUGGGGUAACGGCGCACCUAGGCGACGAUCCCUAGCUGGUCUGAGAGGAUGACCGGGCACACUGGAACUGAGACACGGUCCAGACUCCUACGGGAGGCAGCAGUGGGGAAUAUUGCACAAUGGGGGCAAGCCUGAUGCAGCCAUGCCGCGUGUGUGAAGAAGGCGUUCGGGUUGUAAAGCACGUUCAGCGGGGAGGCGUUACCCGCAGAAGAAGCACCGGCUAACUCCGUGCCAGCAGCCGCGGUAAUAC
rnacentral:rRNA from 1 species